GACCGGCCAGCCGCAUCAUCGGUAUGUUUGCCACAACUUAGUAAUUAGAAAUCAGUUCCGUCCGUGUUUUGUUGGUUCAAGUGCCCUUUUUCAAUGAAAUUUAUUUUGUGAUGAAUCGAUCUGGUCAUAUUCUGACAGAAUAUAAAAAAUCUGAUGUAACAAUCUGGCCACAUCCUUCUACUCUUAUUGAUUGAUCUGAUUAAUAUUUUUUUUGCAAUUCGAUGUACAAAUCAAUCUAGCUGAUUUUUAUAGUUCAUCCCAGUAAGUGAAAUAUUAUUCUCACAAGGUGUUCGACUAAUUUCGGAGUUGAUUUUAAGAUCCCUAAGUGGUUUCAACUGCAAACUAAUUUAGGUCCUGUAGUGAUUUGUCAAUGGCGUACUACCGAAGUGCUUCUAGCGAUAGCAACAUGCACGUACAAGUGCUUUGAAGCAGGCAUAUCGAUGGAUUUUUGGGAGGAAGAAGCUAGCAAGAUAAACUUUCGGCCUUAGCUCACAUGUAUAUUCUGAGAAUUUUCUUCUCCGUUGAACAAUUUAUGUCCUUCUGCAGAUGGCUAAUCAUCGGAACUAUGAGAAAGUAGGCCAUUGUUUACAAACUCAAGGAUUCAGUGAUGUUGAAGCUAAAAGCUGGACUUCACUGCCCUCUGCUCCUCAAUUCAGCCGCCGUUGCCCGCUGCUCCUCAAUUCAGCCGCUGCUGCCGCCACGUUGAGGCCCUCGCCACUAAGCCGGUGAACUUGGAUCAGGUGUGAACUUUGAUCAUGUUUUUCUUUACCUUAACAUCAAGCCGUCGGCUGGGUUUAGGAAGGUAGCUCACGGGACAAACAUUGGUGGCUCACACUCAAUUAUUAAGAGCACCAUAAUUGGAAAAUAUGCACUUGCUAAAACAAAAUUAAUAAUGACAAAAACUAUGAACAUCAGUCAAAGUUCAUGGUCAGAUUCCUCAUCACAGAUUUGGGUCAAAAGUCAAAAAUGCAAGGGAGUAACAACAAAAAAACACGACUUCAAUUGUGCUCCUGUUGGUUAAUAUACCGAGUAAAAAUAAAUAGAACAACCUAUAAUAUAGAGCUUAUGUGCUUUGCACGAAACUGAAUGCAUGGCACUGAACAUAUCUCUAAUCUAUUAUAUGUUAUAUAAGAAAGCACAUAAUUGGGAGGACUGAAAUCCAGCUUGGUUAAACGAAAUAAAUUGGCAACAUAAUUUGGGAGGUGCCUAUCUUUUGUAGCAACGAAGUAAGAUAGUCGACAAGUUCUGGAUCAACAAGACCCUGAGCAUGUCUUGACCCCUAAAUGGAUUACUGCAAGCCUUACUCAAAUGAUAAUAAUAAAAGGUAGACUCGGCUCCUCCACUCAUGCUUCUCUGAAUACAAUGUAAAUUUCAGAACAUGGCUCUCUGAAUUUCUACAACCUAAAUUUAGUACAUGCUUCUUUGAAUGUUGGCCAGCCAAUCGGUACUGUAUUGCAGACUUCAGAGAAUUGUAUGCAUGCCCUUUAUGCCAAUGGAUUACUGCAUUUUUAUGUUAGGUUUUACACUAUUUGAAUGUAAGGACUAUAUAGUAUCUCUUUGGCAAUCUAUGGCAAGUCAUUUUCUGCACAUAAAAUUCAGUGCAUGCUUCUCUGAAUAUCUGCAAUACAAGUGAGCAAAAUUCGUUCUUACAUGUUGUCCUGCCAAUUGGUAUUGGCAGCCUUGCAUACAUGUUUUUAAAAUGCUUAAUCCAAGUGCCACUUCUGUACUAAAUAAGCUGAACUUUAUUUUAUAAAUAACUAAAUGUUGGUUUGCUGACGUCUUCUUGUGAUUGAAUUCUGGAACUUACAUUGUCCGUUUGCAACAUUACAUACGGCCAUGCUUUGCAAGACGUUCUAUAUAUAGGCUCUUUUGUACGUGAUAAAAAAAUUUGGACACAUAUUUGUUACUCCCUCCGUCCCAUAUUUGUCAAAAACGCUCUUAUAUUAUGGGACGGAGGGAGUAGAACUAUGAGUUCACCAUAUACUAUGAAAAUUCAUCAACUUGGGAUUAUGAAUCAUGUUUGUUUUUUGGAGAACCAUGUACUGAUUUAGAUAAAACCUCAUUAGCGAGAAAUAUUUGACUCGUAGGGAGCUACUGUAGUUUUUCCUGCUUUUCCAAUUAUUCUGUUGUUACUUCGUUCAUAGCUAUGGAAUGGAUCCUUCUACCAUUGCCAGUUCAGCUAUACCAGGUACACUCUGAUGCUUGUUCAUGGAAUUUUGGUAACAAUAUGAACUGUGAUAUGUUCUGAAACAUAAACUGAGAGGCAAACUUAUAUUAUGUUUAACAGGUUUGGCUGUUGUUCCUCUAUACAACUUUAUCUUUUAGUAUCGACCAAUACCUCAUAUCCCAUUUGAAGGGAAUAUUGUGAUGCUCUAGGACUUUAUGUUAUUUUACCAUACAAUCCGAUAAAAAUGAUGCUCUUCUUCAAUGCCUGUCUAUCCACCUCCGACGUGUUGUUUGUUGGCUGUUCUUGUUAUGCUUUUUUCUGUUCGUUUCAAAGUUAUUAACUCAUUAGGCAUAUAAGUACCAAUAAUGCAAGUUUUUUUGGGUCAUUUGGAACUUAGCAAAAGUUCAUUUUAUUCUAAAGGUGAGUAUGGAAUCAUCCGACAUCCUGGUGGCUCUUGUAAGUCUCAAAUGGGAGAUUAAGGGACAAGUUGAUUGUUCACACAAGGUAGGUGUACUUUUAGGCCUCUGGUUUGUUCUAAACAUGUAAGUUCGGGCUUAGCCUAUACUCUUUUCACAGAGAGUUGCCGAGUUGUUUCUGUGCCAGGCUGUGAUGCAAGGUUUUGCCAUGUUGCUGAAAAGAUAUCAAUGUCGAAGACUAUAUACAACUUUGUAGUCGUCUGCUCAAAUUUUAGUCAAAAUAGAUAUUUGUAAGUUGAAAAUUUAUUUUUGGCAGGCUAAAAUAAUGGAGGUUGUGUGGGAAGAGAUUGUUGUUGUUUAAGGCUAACUAUUGUUGUUCUGUCACUUCCCCUUUCUCUUGCUGGUAUGUGGUUAUCCAUAUGAUAGCUGGGAUUGAAUAUGCAACAUGCAACUACCUUGUCUUCAUAAUUCACUAUUCAUCUUGAUACAUGAUGAUAUACUCAAAUUUUUGUUUUACUUGGAUAAUAGUACCUGUCAUUUUAUUUAGAAUAGUAGCAGGCCAUUUAUUUAGAAUACUACUAGGUCAUUUAUUUAAUUUAAUGCGUACAUUACAGUAUUCCUUUGAAUGCUAGCCAAACUUGUAGGUGAGUUAGAAACCUACUUCUAAGUUCUGGGAUGUCCGCCAAGCAACCAAACUUGUGUUGGGAGUGUCAUUCUGGUUGGCCUUCCACCAGAAGAAAAUCGCCAUGGACACCCCAAGUCGGUUGUUCCUCUACUCCAUAGAGAUGUGUCACUCACCGCCGUUGGCACUUAACUAACGACGGCGUCAAAAUAGAAAGAUGAAAAGUUGGACUUGUAAGAGAAUAGUCAUAUUACUACAAUAGAUGUAGAUCUUGAGCAUAUCGAAAGAUUAAAUUGUAAUUUGUAACAGGAAUGCAAUAGCAUUUUG
rnacentral:lncRNA from 1 species